GGCUUUGAGCCCAAAGUCCAGACUUUCACCUUGACGGUUGGCUCAGCCUUCAGUAACCACACAGCCAUGCAUGGCGAUUCGAUUUUCUGACCAAAUUCUUACUCAACUUUUUCAAGGCAGUCAUGGCUGCCUGCCUGAGCCCUCUGGCGUGGUUUCACAACCUCACUGGACUCUCCCUGCCUUAGCUGAAAAGAACCCUCUCGUGGGAAUUUGGCAGACCCAGCUGAGGGAAAUUGGGGGGCCAAAGCACUUCCCGUCGCCUCACAUGGUCCAGCCCCUGCAAGGCAACUCUGACCCCAGGGUGCAGCAGCCCUUGGUUGCAACUGUCCCAAAGCAGCGUCUACUCCUAAGACUGGAACCACAUCGGCCUCUCUAUCCCAGGGCUGGGGCCACACCUUGAGGAAGAGGGAAAGCCAUGUUCAUGGCUCAAAGAGACAGUGCAAAGGUGUCAUUUAGAGUGGCUUCCCCUUGGUCACAAACGUGUUUAUCUUUAAGAAAUAUGAGCUUGUCUUCCCUACCCCUUAAAUCCUUCAGGCUUGGCCGUCUUUCUUCUGAGGUUCUAUCUCAGCUGUGCAAGUUGGGGCUUCCUCUCUUAUUUGAUUGUGUCUUUAAUAAAACCCUGGGCUAAAGGCCCAUCUGCUCCGAGUUGGCUUUGGGCCCUGGGUCUUAGUCUGGCCACUCUUGGUGCUCCUGGGACAGGGCAUAGUGUGCUCCUCUCUCAUUCAUGCAUUCAUUCAUCCAUUCGUUCAUUUAAUAUCUGUUGAGCUCCUAUGUGCCAGGCACUAGCUAGGUCCUGGGGAUACCAAAAGUGUCAGGCAAAUAGAAACGGGUGCUGAUCCUUAGAGAACACCUUGUCUAACGAAGGGGGCUCUUGGAUGUGGGGAGGUAUGUGAGUGAGCCAUGCAAGCUGGGGAUAAAAGUCAAGAGGCUGUGAGAACUUGUAGAUCGGGUUUGAAAUUUUCGUGUUUUGUCCUAGAAGCCUCAGGGAACCAUGGAAAGAUUUUAAGCAGCGGAGAGAAAUGGUCACAUUUGGGUUUUUGGAAAAAGACCCUAGCUGCUGUGUGGUUUUUGGGAAAAGACCCCAGCUUCUAACGCCAGUUAGAAGGGGGAGGGGAGUGGGGAUCGGUCAGGGAACCCAUCAGGCAAGGCCAGUGUCUAGGAUUGGAGGGGCUUGGGGAGAAGGGGUUGAGAACAUAACCCACGUAGAGGAGGAUGGCAGACCAUGGGUGUAGAUUGCAGAGGCAGUUGACCAACACUGAAGGCAGACACUGGAGCAGGGACACAACUGCCAGGUGUGGAGCGUAUUGAGUUGAGGUGCCUUUGAAAGGAGGCGAUAUUCAGGUCAAGAGCUCAUGGGAGAGGUGUGGCCUAUAGAUAGCCAUUGGUGAAUUAUCUGCCAUAUGUAGUUACUCCAUAGGAAUGGUGGAACUUGCCAGGGAGACAGACUAGAAAAGCGAGGGUGCCUUGGGGUCAGGGAGGUGCGUCUGUCCAAGGAGGUUGAGGAGGAAUGGCCAGAGAAGUAGGAGGGAUGCCAGGGAGUGGUAGGGUCACAAUAGCCUUGAAGGAGUAACUCUGUGUUUCUCCACGACCAUUUGCCUUAAUCACAAACACAUCUCCUUCAUCCUGAAUGUUAGAUGUAGGGAGCAGGGGGCAAACUAGUCUGGUGCUAAUGCCCUCUGGAAAGGGCAUGUGGGCCCUCAGCCUGGGCAGGAGGGCCAAGGAGGAUUCUGGCAAACUCUGUGACAUUAGGUGGUAACGGCAGGCACAUCAGAGAGUUGGGGACAGGCAUGGAGAAGCUUGUGGCAGUUCAAGGCUGGGUGGGAGAAUUUUCUCUGUCUACAGGUCCAUGGACUGUGAGUUCAGGGACAUUAUAAAGAAAGAGAACAAGGAGACCAAGGGACAGGAGAUGCGGGGUCUCUUUGGAGGUUGUGGGGACUAACAAGCUCGAUUUGGGAGAGGUAGUGAGAGGGAAGAGCAAGGCCAGUUCUGACCACUGGCUUCCAAGAAGGCCAGCUUCCAUGGCCUGUUGGGUCUUGAGAUAGAAGCUAUUUCCCGCCCGAGGGGAGGAGAAGAUCACAUAAAGGAAACCAGUGAGGAUAUGAAAGGGAACAGGCCAGUACUCCAGGACUGUUGUUCCAAACUUACUCAGGCACCGAGAAAAUUUCUAAAGCCCCUCUAGCCUUUUUUAGAGCUGCUCAAAGAAUAUGGGGCAUGCCUAGGGCCCAGAGAAAAGGGGCAGUGGAGAGGCAGGCUGAAAGAAGCAGGGAGGGUCAGCGUGGGCCACAGGUUAAGACGACUUCAGCAGAUAGAGGCAACCAUCAGAUCCUCUCCACCACGCUCUGGGUCAGCAUACCACAGCUAGCACGGACAGGCUCCUUCACCCCUCGCCAAAGCACUGGGUCUGGCUGCCAUCUUGUGUCUGGCUAUUUUAGACAGCCCCCAACUGGAGUCCCUCACAGUAAAGCCUUACCACAGAAAGAGCAGUCCUGCCAAAGUGCAGGCUUAAGUCCAUGGACGGGGAAGAAAGAGUACUUUCAGACCCCCUUUGGAGUGUGGCUUCCUCAUGACUUCCAAGGCAAGACAUACAUUGGGACAAAGAAAUAGGUUUUCAGGGGGAAACAGGAGACUCAGUGUGGGUACCAGAGAUGGCCACCAUGACCCUGAAGGGACAAUUUUGGAGUGGUUCUCCCCAGGAUGGGAGGCAGGGGGCAGGCAAUGCUUGCACUUCCAGCCCUCAAUUUCCCCACUUGUAGAAUGGGGGGUCAUGGAAGAGUCUACCUGAGAGAAAUGUUGAGGAUUUUACGAGUUAAUUUUUAUAUAGGAUACUUAGAACAGCCAGACACAUCACAAAUGAUAGUAAAUACUAUCACGAUUUCAUGAGACAUUGUCCAUUUACAUGAAAUUCUUGGACUUUGUGGGCACAUAACACAUUUCCUACCGAUGUGACUCUACACUGCUCGAAAAGUAGGCAUUCCAGUUUAAGGAUUUAAUAGUAAUGAGGAGAUUUAAUUCCAGAAUUACAUAUUGGGAUCAUUUUGAAGAACUUUUCCACGAAUGCUUAUUAGAGUGGAAAGGAUACAGAGGCAGGUGUCAGAAGACCGCAGAUAUUUGUUCUAGCAUCUUCCAUAUGCUAGACUUCAAUGGCCACUGUGAUAGAAAUGGUACUUGCAUUAACAGAGCUGAUGACUCAGUUGGGGAGACAAAAGUUUUUAAAAAGUUACAAAUUCGGAUUAGUGCCACCAAGGGGAAAAUUCCCAAGGGGAAGAAUAACAGAGAAGGCAUCUAACUUUAGGUCAUGAAGAUCUUCUCUGAUAAGUUGACAUGAAGCCAACUUUUGGCCACUCAAAAGUGGUUAUGGAGGUGUCUGGGAGGUGGGGGGUAUUCUGGUUUAGAAAAUGAUUUCCUUUCCCAAUCUUAGGCAACCCUGCGAGCAUCAAUUUCUACAUUUGUAAAAUGAAGAUAAGCCUACCUAUCCAACUGACCACAACAGAGCUGAGCCACCUGUCAGCAGUGCGUGGGCAGACUCCCGACUCCACAAGAAUGGAGGGAACUCAAUGCAUCUCAUGGAAGGAAGACCUCACAUUGCCAAGUUGUCAGUCCUCCCCGAAUGGAUCCCUGCCUUUGACCCAAUUCCGAUGAAAAUUGCAGUGAGAGCUUUGUGCACUUGGAAAGGACUUUGAGUACAAUAGAUGCAUCACUGUUUGGAGCAAAGCAAGGUGUGAAGACAAAGGCGAAGGAGGGCAGCGUGAGGCCUCUAACAUCCUACAGAGCCGGGGCAAGCAAAUACCGUGUCUCCACAUUCACUUGCCGCUUCUGAAAAUGGUUUUCCUGUUUUCUGAAAUUCAUCUGCGCGCUCUCUACCCCCGCCCCCCACCAACCUGACCACCCUGUAGAUUAUAAACGAAGGCCUGUAUCCUUCAGUAUAUUGAGUCGGUGAUUUCACUGAAUGAACGUGGCGUUCCAAGUCAGCGAGUAAGUGUACGUCAUACAAUCAUUGGCCCAGAAAUUACAUUAUUAUUAUUUUUAUUAUUAUUAUUUUUCAGUGAGUAAUUACUGAGUGCCUGCUCAGGGGCAAGCUGGGCAUUGUUGUGGGUGUUGCAAACCAGCACGUGAACAAAACAAAUGAAGUCUUUGCUGUCCCAGGGAGCGGCCAGUUUUUAGGGAAGGAGAGGCACAGUGAACUAGGAACCACCCCAGAAGCUGAAUCUGGCUGUGGAGACAGAAGCUGCUGGCUGUGGUCAAGGAAGACUUCUUGGGUUAACUGGGGGCACUUGGGAAGACGCUGGAGGACGUGCAGGUGCAUGCCAUGUUGCUAUCUGGGCGACAACAUUCCGGGAAGUGGGUGUCGCAAAUGAAAAGGAACAACGGGUGGAUUGGCUGCCCGAAGUGGGUCAGUUUUUAUACCUCUUCCUCUGUCCAGUAAUUAGUGUCAGUAAUCGUGUAAUAACUAGAAAUUGUCGUCUUGAUGCCCUCUUUGGUUUUAAAUCAAUUUAAAGAGGUUACAUUUCAUUUUCAAGAUAAUAUUCAAUUUCAGAAAAAUAUUGCAUAAUGACCUUAAUUAUGUAUAUUUGCCCUUCACCCCCCAACCCACCCCCCCAAAAAGAAAACCAACCCCUACAUCUUAAAGAAUCACGCCGUGUUCACCUCUGAAACUAAACACAAAGAACUCCAAGGGGUCAGAUGGAAUGACAGAAUGAAGGAAGUCCUAUUCUGAUCCUUUGACUCUGUAAUCAUUGUGCUAUGGUUGUGUCUUUUGGGUCUAUUAUUUAAAGCUCAAACUCAAAGAAACGUAGGGCAGGGGACUGGAGAGCCCAACUGUGCCCAAAGCAAGCUCCAAUGAUUCUGAACCAUUAUCAACGAAACUGCGAUAUGCUGUCGAUGAAUCCAUGGUUAUGUAGACCUAAUAUUUAUUUGUCUUUGUGUGUACGUGUGUGUGUGCAUGUGUGAGUCUGUGAGCAUGUGUGACCUGCCUGCCUGCUCCCCAACUCUCCAGUAUGUGCCCAGUCCCAGCAUUUGCCAAUCUACAGUGUGCAGAUUUUCCUUAAUCACGUCUGUGGCUGAAGUUAGGUUAAGUCCAGUAGCUCUCAGGGCACUUCCUAGCUUGUGGAAGGUUCUUUGGACCUGUAUUUCUAUGGCUCUGAUGGGAAGAAUGAAAAAUUUAUGUUCAUCAAGCUUAGCUCCCUGAGAUUUUUGUGUUUCAGACUCUCCCACAGAAUUUACUGUGAGGGAGCCUCUUCCUUUCCCUUCCUUUCCUUUCCUUUCCUUUCCUUUCCUUCCCUUCCCUUCCCUUCCCUUCCCUUCCCUUUCUUUUCUUUUCUUCUUCUUCUUCUUCUUCUUCUUCUUCUUCCUUGUUUAUUUUCUUUUUUUUAAAUUCUAUUAUUAUUUUUUUCUUUGUUUAUUUUCGAGAGAGAGAGAGAGACAGACACAGAGCAUAAGUGGGGAAGUGGGGGAGGGGCAGAGAGAGAAGGAGACACAGAAUCUGAGACAGACUCCAGGUUCUGAGCUGUCAGCACAGAACCCAACAUGGGGCUUGAACCCACAAACCGUGAGCUCAUGACCUGAGCCGAAGUUGGAUGCUCAGCCAACUGAGCCACCCAGACGCCCUUUGAGGGAUCUUAUUUCUAUGUCACAUCUUGCAGCUGCUUACCCUGUCCUGUCUUUGCUGGCUUCCCUGGGCUCCUGUUUCCUGGGAGUUUCAGUGCCAUAGUGGAGCAACCAGAUGAACAGAGGUUGUGGGUGAGAGUAUCGUGAUGCCUGCCUCAAGGGCAUCCAUUGUGCAGAAGACAGACAGCCACCUACCGUUCUGUUUGGAUGGAUCCCAACUCUCUGAUUGGGUAGACUUGCAGGGGGUGGGCUAAAUGUUUUCCUUUUCUUUUUUUUUUAAAGACAAUAAAGCAGCAUUAUUUCAUAUGGUUGAAAAAUA